rnacentral:lncRNA from 12 species
CGUAAGAUAAGCAUUCACUUUAAAGAGUAGAUUUUAAUGUUGCACAAAGCUUCAGAUUUCCAAAUUUGAGGCAAUUUUGUGUUCUGUUUUGGGGUGAUAUUAAACCUGAAAUGAAUGCCAGAAGCUGGCUAAAUUACAACAAAAGAGAACUCUUCGUGCAGUGAAUGUCAGGAAGCAGCCAGGCAUCUCUGUGCACCCUGUGCUUUCCGCCCUUCCCAACAGCUAUAAGUGAGGGGCUAGUACCCCAUUUCACAGAUGAGAAAAUGGCUUCAGGGAGUCAAGGUUGCACAUGUAGUCACAGACCAAGUCAAAUCCAGCUUCCUGCUGAUACAAUUCCCUUCCUGUAUCCUGCUUAGCUUCUGGCCUAAGUUGUUCUUUCAUCAUGCCAUGCUCCCCUGGCACCUGAUGCAUAACUUACGAUGUCAGGUACCUUGGUGCCUCUCCGCUGUCAGAAGGGAAGGACAAUGGCGCUGA